UUGUCAUCCUCAACUUUCUCAAUCAUGCCAAUGUAACGGAUGCUCCUGUGUUUGGUUGACAAGUUAACUAUGACAAAGUCACCCACGGACAGUUCUGUGUUUACUGGAUCACUUCUCUCACCCUCAGAGCACUCUACAUCAGACACAUUAUUUAGUGGGACAGGGACAUCACUCUCCUCAGAGCUGCCAACUAUGAUUUUCUUUUUGGUUGCUCAUCUGCAGGUGGAUCAUCUGUGGGGCGUGGACCAUCCAAAUCAUCUGCAUGGGGUGGAUCAUCUGCAGGGGCAGCCUGCAGCUCAGGGUUUGGCCGGUUAUUGAACUCUCCAUCUCCUCGAGGGGGGUCUUGCCCCAGGUUGCGCGUCCUCCCACACAUGCACCAUUGGACUAAAUCCAUCAUCGUGCUUCAGUCAGCGAUACUGGAAUACAGAGCAGCGGAAGCAGAGAUGUUGCUGAUGCAUAAAAGACAGACCCACAUCAACUGGUCAAGGGCUCAGUCAAACUUUGCAGAUGAUGGAACAUGAGUAGAGUAACACCGGUGGGCGACUUGCUGUCGAUGUCGUCAGUCACCACAGAGGACGUCCGUUUACGUCUGAUGGAGCGGGAGCACCCACGCGUCCUGAAAGAUGAAGGUGAGCACUGCUUGUGUCAGCUGCUAAACAUCUCUCGCCUCAAACCUCACGGGACAGUUUCCCAGAUGAACUUCACCAUUUCCUUGGAGAUAACACAAGCUUGUUGAUGAAUCAGGUCAUAGCGCACACACACACACACACACACAGAGAGC